GACGAACGCUGGCGGCGUGCUUAACACAUGCAAGUCGAACGCUGAAGCUUGGUGCUUGCACUGGGUGGCUGAGUGGCGAACGGGUGAGUAAUACGUGAGUAACCUGCCCUUGACUCUGGGAUAAGCCUGGGAAAGUGGGUCUAAUACUGGAUACGACAUGCCACUGCAUGGUGGUGUGUGGAAAGGGUUUUACUGGUUUUGGAUGGGCUCACGGCCUAUCAGCUUGUUGGUGGGGUAAUGGCCUACCAAGGCGACGACGGGUAGCCGGCCUGAGAGGGUGACCGGCCACACUGGGACUGAGACACGGCCCAGACUCCUACGGGAGGCAGCAGUGGGGAAUAUUGCACAAUGGGCGGAAGCCUGAUGCAGCAACGCCGCGUGAGGGAUGACGGCCUUCGGGUUGUAAACCUCUUUCAGCAAGGAAGAAGCGAGAGUGACGGUAAGUGCAAAAGAAGCACCGGCUAACUACGUG
rnacentral:rRNA from 1 species